AUUGAACGCUGGCGGCAGGCCUAACACAUGCAAGUCGAGCGGAUGAAGGGAGCUUGCUCCUGGAUUCAGCGGCGGACGGGUGAGUAAUGCCUAGGAAUCUGCCUGGUAGUGGGGGAUAACGUCCGGAAACGGGCGCUAAUACCGCAUACGUCCUGAGGGAGAAAGUGGGGGAUCUUCGGACCUCACGCUAUCAGAUGAGCCUAGGUCGGAUUAGCUAGUUGGUGGGGUAAAGGCCUACCAAGGCGACGAUCCGUAACUGGUCUGAGAGGAUGAUCAGUAACACUGGAACUGAGACACGGUCCAGACUCCUACGGGAGGCAGCAGUGGGGAAUAUUGGACAAUGGGCGAAAGCCUGAUCCAGCCAUGCCGCGUGUGUGAAGAAGGUCUUCGGAUUGUAAAGCACUUUAAGUUGGGAGGAAGGGCAGUAAGUUAAUACCUUGCUGUUUUGACGUUACCAACAGAAUAAGCACCGGCUAACUUCGUG
rnacentral:rRNA from 1 species